rnacentral:snoRNA from 1 species
UGGAUUAAUGAUGACUACUGGCAGCGUAUGAGUCAUAUAUGAUGAGUGUGGGUCUGGAACUCUGAGACCCAA